CCCGUACUUGGUGUUACUGCGAAGGGGGGACGGAGAAGGCUAUGUUGGCCGGGCGACGGUUGUCCCGGUUUAAGCGUGUAGGUGUGUGUUCAAGGUAAAUCCGGUUCACUUUAACACUGAGGCGUGACGACGAGGCACUACGGUGCUGAAGCAACAAAUGCCCUGCUUCCAGGAAAAGCCUCUAAGCAUCAGGUAACAUCAAAUCGUACCCCAAACCGACACAGGUGGUCAGGUAGAGAAUACCAAGGCGCUUGA
rnacentral:rRNA from 1 species